AUUACUAUUGGAUUGCAGGAACCUCUCAGGUGUAAAUUCUAAUGGGUUUUUCCAGUACUUUGGAUCUCUUCCAAUCGACCAUAUAUUCACGAAAAGUAAAGAAUUGGCAGGUAUUGUAUACCCAUUAAUCUUGCAAUCUUGAAUUGAUUUUCUUGAAAGCAUCGGAAUUGGUGGGUGCAAUCUAAAUGUUUCCUUUAAAAUAGCUUGAAUAUAUUCAAGCUUUGGAUUGUCAGAUUCUUGAACAAUUCUGUUAUUACCCACAACUCUAUCAAUUUCUUCACGAGCUUUUUCUGCAACUUUUGGAUUGUUUAUAAGCUCUGCCAUUGCCCAUUCUAUAGUAAUUGCUGUUGUGUCUGUAGCUGCUGUGAAGAAAUCCUGCAAUAAGAAUAAAUUAAUUGAGUUUCAAUUGCAUUAUAAACAAUGCUCGCAAAGAGUCCUGUUAAAACCAAGAAAUAUAGGCCAGCCUGCAAUCCACACCAGAAUAAAUGGAAUUUUCCGAUUAGAACUGCAUGCGCGCGCGCCCGCGUGUGUAUAAAAGAAAGUAUAUCUCAUAAUUAUAAAAUAAAUGUGCUAUUUUGUUUUCUCUCAGAGGGAUUUUAUUUCAGACAAGAAAAUAAUUUAAGAUUAUAUUUGUAAUAUUUUAAUAAUCUGGACAGUUUUUUUAAUCUAAAAAGUGCAUAGGUACUCAGGUAGGUCCCAACACUAGAACUCAAUAAUUAAGUCACAGCACUGCAAUUGGAAUGUAAAUAUGACCAAACCCUAAAGUUGGAAUAAAUAAAUUGAUUAGUCAUUGCUCUACAAUCCAUUUAAAUAAGCUACAACAUAAUUAAAAUUGUUCAUAAUACAUUAUAAAUAAUUUUUCAAGAAUUAAAAAUCAAAUAAAAUUGAGUAAUUAUAGUCAAAUUUUCAAUUUAACUAAUUCAAUUCCGUUUUUAAAAUACUUACCAAAAUCAAGGCCUUGAUAUGGUUUUUGUUUAACCUAAUUUCUGCAUUAUCAUCCUCCAUAACAUCAAGCAUUAUAUCAAGAAAAUCUUUAGCUUCCCCUUUGCAUUUGUUUGUCUUCCUUCGUUGUUCUCUAUCUGUAAUUAGCUUCUCCAGCAAACCAUCAUAGUUCCUAUAAAUCUCAUCAGUUCUCUUUCUAAAACCCUGCAAAUCAAAGUUUUUACAAAACCAGAUAAAGUCAGAAACAUUAAACUCUCCAAAAAUCUGUGUAACGUCUCUUACUACAGUUCUUGUAAUUUCAGCUUCACUGUCUGUAUCAGAUGAUCUCAUACUCAACACCAUCAUAGAAAUUAUAUUAUUCGAUAAUUUAAUCAAUUCUUGCGUCACAUUAACAAUUUGACCAUUUCUUGAAUAAAAACCAGCAAGAAAAUGGUGCAACUCUUUACUUCUUAGAGGAAGAAACUGAUUAAGCAUUCGAUUUCCUAAAAGCUCGAAAGUACUAAUUUUUUUUAUGAAUUUCCAGUAAGGUCCAUAGGGAGCGAAAGCGAAAGAUGAGCCGUAAGUAAGACGAUCGAUGGCUAAUGAGUGUUUACGAGAAGAGAAUGUAAGUUCAUGAGUUUUUAAAAGUCGUUCAGCUAGUUCAGGCGUUGAAGCGACGACACAGGACACAGAACCAAGAUUGAGAUAGAUUAAAGGACCAAGACGAGACGAUAUGUCGCGGAAAGAAUGGUGGAUUAGAGGUCCAAGAAGAUGGAGAUGGCCUAGUAUGGGUAAGGCUAUAGGGCUUGGAGGAAGAUUUUGCCAUUUUUUCAUAAAGAGAGGGAAAAAGAGAAAGAAAAAGAAAACCGAGAAGGAUAAGAGUUCAGGUAUCAUAUUUGUAUUAUUUUCUGUAUGUAUAACUUAUGGGUACAUAGGAUUUGCUUAUGCGGGUAAUGUAUAUAUAGGGGACUAGUGUGUAUAUUUAUACUAGAGAUGAACACGGGACAAAUUUCAUAACCGAAACCUCUCACUCUUCGCAUGCGUAAUAAGAUCAAUCACACCAUAUCUAAUUGACAUAUCUACAACUACAAUAAAUAUAUAUAUAUAUAUAUAGUUGGAAUGAGAGAAUAAAUAACUAGUUAGUAUGUGUUUAGAGUGACGAAUUUUGGGCUCAAGAUUUUAUUAAAAUUAAAAUAAAUUAAAUCCAGGCUCAAAGUUCCAAACCUUAAUAUCAUCAAAUACUAAAAAGAAUUAAUUACUUAAAUAAAAUAUUAAAUUACAAGAAUUUUUCCAGUAAAAAAAAAAAACUAUUAGAAUUAUAGAGUUGUCCUUCAUUUAUACUUCUCUUUUUCUAAUUAAUCUCAUAGUUUAUUCUCAUUUUCACCUUUCAUGGAUAUCCGACUUAUCAUAAUCUAUUUAAAAUGGGUUCAGGUAUUAGUUAAAUGAGCGUAAAAAAUGUGCAGAUAUUAAAAUUUUAAAUGGUUUUAUAUAUAUGGAUAUUUCAAAAUGAAUUUUAAGUGGAUUUAAGAUGGGUAUGAGUAUCAAAUAAAAAAUUAAAGUAUAAUUAAUUAAUUGAGCAGUAAAUUUAAUUAUCAAGUCAAACUUGAGAUUAAUAAAAAUAUUUACCACAUCUAUUUGGUCCUCCAUCCUCUCUCCACGAACUUGAGUUUGUUACCUCCCUUUCUCUUUAUCUAACGCGUUGCCUCUUUAUUAGUUUUAAAACAACCGUGUUAACUAACGCUGUCGUUUUAGAAAUGAGUCAGAAUUGAAUAUUAGCAGAGCAUGGAAAUAUCAUUUUCAAUAGUAAAAAAUAACCCCAUUAAUAUAGAAAAUUCUUUAAUAAUACAUUUUAAUUUACAUUAAUCUAAAAUAAAUAAUUUAAUACUAUAUCACUAUUAUUGAGAAGUAUAAAAUUUUGAGGAAUUAAAAUAUUUCCUAAACUGAUAAUUAAUUGAUUAAAAUGUAACUUUUAGAGAUUAUUAGACUUUAUAUGUUUCUAAAAAAUAACUUAUUAGAAAACAUUUUCUAAAUUUUUUAUUGUAAAAUAUUUUAACUAAUUUUCAAUAUUGCUACUAAAUAAUAGAAAACUAAGUUAUUUGAAAAAUAUUUUCUAUGAAAAAUGUUUUUUGUGGUAAGUAUUUUUUCAAAGAUAAGUUAUUUUCUAGAAUUUAUUCCAAAAUUCGAUUUAAUUUCAUUCAAAAUAUUAAAAUACUUGAUUUUAAAAUAAUAAAAUAUAUAAUCAUUAAGGGGUGAAUCAGAUACGGAAUGACAACAGUUCCUUCUUCCUUCACCACAAUCCACUUGGUUCUCUCGCUCCUUGCUUGUGGAGCAGCAUAACGAAAAAAGAAAUCAAGAAUAAAAAAAGAGCCAGCCGGCAACCUUUUUUAGAAAGAGAGGCUCCGGCGACAAGAUGAUGUCUCAAUUUUCAACUCCGGAUAUGAAAUGCCUUUGAAAACUUUAGUAGGAAGCGCUUUGAAUAUAAGAUGGUUUCAUCAAAAAAUAAUAAAAAAAUAAAAAGAUAGCAUGCAUUAAGCUAAAUAAAUAUGAAAAAAUAAAACAAGUUUUCACCACUCAUAUAUGCAUCCUCUAUAAAAGGCAGAACAUGUCAACUUCCAUUUUCCUUUGUAAUUUCCCCAUCAGGAUAAGAUGAAUUAAUUACAUUCUUGCAUUUCAAUUUUCCUCUUUCACUAGCAAGAAUUGAUGACUUUAUGGACAUUACAUCCACACCAACCUUCUAUUUUCUUCUUUUUUUUUUUAUUUUAAAAAUAUAACUCACUAAUUAGGAUUUAGACCUAAUUCAAUUCAUGUAAUAAAUGGAGUUAACCUAAUACUAUGGAAUGGGAUGAGAGUAGAACACGAAAUAAUUAAUUUAUAACAUUGUUUUAAAUUUAAAUGUAAAAUACUUAUUUUAUAAAAUAAUGUAGUAGAGAAUUUUAAAAAUUUCUUUACUGAUACAGAAUUUUUGCAUAUAAAAUACCCAUUGAUUUUAAAAAAUUUCAAUACUUAACUAAUUGUGAUUUCCAUUUAGACAUAAGAAAAUUAAAAAUUCAGAUACUAAUUAUAAUAUUACCUCUAAUUAAAUUUUUUAUUUUUAAUUUUAUUUUCUUUUAUUUAGGUUUGAAUCGAUGAAUUUUAUUUGAUUGCAAUUGAUAACGCAACAAAAUAUAUAUAUAUAUAUAUAUAUAUAUAUAUUUUGGUUUUGUAAAAAAUAUAAUACUAUAAAAUAUGAAACAUUUUGAUUGAUUCUGGAUUAAACUUAUUGCUCCAUCCCAUGUACCCGAAAACUUAUCAUGUCUCAUCCUAAAUAAUAAAAUGGCACGAGACAAGACUACGUACUAUUGGAACGUGAUUGAAUUAAAAUUCUAAAGUUUUUUUAGGUUGUUAAACUUAACUAAAUAACUAAUUGAAUUAUAAAUUUAUAAUAUUACUAUGUAGUUUAGUAUUUCUGGAUAAGAGUUUUUUAUUUGUUUUAUUUUUGUUUUAAACACAAUUUUUAAAUUACAAUUCACUAAGUAACUUCAAAUAUUUAAAGCUUGAUUUGAAUAAUGAUAAAACACUAUUCUCUUUCUCAAAAUAUAAAUAUUUUUGGGUGAUUAUUUUAUCCUAAAUUAUAUUCCAUCCAUCCUAAAAUAUAAAUCAUUUUGAGUAUUUUAAGGAGUAAUAAAUAAUAUUUCUUCAAUAUUAUCUUUAUUUACAUUAAAUACAAUUACUACCUUCACAAGUUAAUCUUGAUUUUAAGAUAAAUGUUAAUUUAAUUAAAUUACUUUUUAUUUUAUUAUAAUUAAAAAAAUUAAUUGUUUCCUUAAUUUCAGGUAAAAACCUUCAACAAUUAUAUUUUAUGACAAAAAAAAUAUAAAUAGCUUCAAAUAUAAUGACAAAACAUUUUGAUUUGAAUAAGGUAUAAAAAAAUUCAAAUAUAUCUUUGAAACAAAUGCAGUUAGAAAAAGCUUACAACAAUUGACAGAUUCUUCGAGAACAAAGCAAUAAAUUAAAAUAAAAUUACACAAUAUAUCGCAACAACGAGAAUCACACUAAUACUAUUAUAAUUAAAAAAUUAAAAAUUUUAAUAAAAGAAUUAUUUAUUACAACUGUGCGUAGGACGGAUACGCCGGUAGUAUUUUUAUAAAAGCGAGGGCGGUUGCGCCAUCUCCUCGCUCCGUGACUGCACCCUGUGAAAUGGAAAAACAUGUGAGUUUAUUUAUUUCAGUUCAGCUUUCUUAGUAUUUUCUUCUUUCAUUUUUUCAGAGGAAGAAUUAAUGAGUAGAGCUGGACAAGCAUGCAAGAAGAAUACCGACAUCACAUCUACACCAACUACUGCCCUUUUUUUAUUACUAUUUUUCACGUUUACUAUUUUUAUUACUAUAAUUAUGUAAUAGUUAAAUUAAAUAGUUAUGUUGUUUCUUUGGCAAAUCAAAUUACUCGUUAGUAUUAAUUGUUGUAUAAAUUUAUUAAUUGUUAUAGAUCAUAUGAUAAAAAAAAUAAUUUUUAAUUUUUUUUACACUUACACACGUGUGUAAUUUAGAGAGAAAUUGAAGUUUCAAUCACUAUUUCAAAAAUAAAUUCAAUGCAGAAAUAGAGAGAUUUAACAAUCACUCAAAUAUUGUCGAUAGAUCGAAUAUGUAAUUUUAUUUGACAUUUACACAGUACUUGGAGUAAAUACAUAUAAAAUUUAUUUCAUUAUCAAAUAAAUUUCAUCAGUAUAUUAUAUUUUGAUUCAUAUAUUUGAUUUAAAAUUUUAAACUUUAAAUUUUAAAAUACAAAUUAUAUUUGAAAUGCCAGAAAUUUUAAUAAUUUUUAUGAAUUUCAUUUAAAUCAAAAUGCAUAAAUAUAUGAAAUCGGAUUUCAUUUCGUAUUAUGUUUUAUCUUAGUGAAAAUUUCAUUUUCUUUCUAAAAAAAUUAUUUUUUAAUGAAAUUCACAUUCGUACGUUCAGAUAUAUAACCAGACAUAAUAUUAAAAUUUGUCUAUAAAUAAAUUUUCAUAUUUGGAUGAAUCAUGAAAUUCAUUUAAAUAACUAAUUUUUAUUUAUAAUUAAUUUUUAUUUAUAAUUAAUCAUUAUUUAUAAUUAAUGAAAAUGAGAGGAGAACAUAAGCUUAUUGUUGAUGAAAAUAAUUACUCAUGAAAUGCUAAGUGCGUUGCCUAUGAUUUAGGGAACUGAAGGAAAACUGGAGAAUUCUUUAAAGAGAAUUGAUUUUUCAUACUAUCAAAUUAUUUGAUAUUAUUAUUCCGUUGCUAAUUACUUAAUUAGUUAUGAACUUAAUUAGGAAGUCACACGCACCCAAUGACCUCAUUAAUCAAGUAUAUAUACUGUUUUGAUUUAAUUAAAGAGUUUAAUUAGUUAAUCAAAAUAAUGAAAUUAAAGUGCUUACUAAUACUAAAUUAGGGUUUACAUCUGAACUACAUAUAUUUACAUGCGAUGUAGAUGCGAGAAUUCAAUUGAAUAAUAAUAAAUUAUAUCUUUCUUGAUUCAAUUUAUUGAUAGAGCUAUCAACGUUUAUUGGCCGGUUUUGCUAACGCUCAUUACUAGCAACUUGACAAGCUUUUGGUUAGUCGCAAAUAGAGGCUCAAACGAUGUUAACUCUUUAAUAUUUUAUGCUUUCAUUAUAGAUCACUAAUGUGAUCGAAAUAUCUCUCGUUGUUUUUUUCUCUCUAAAAUUUGAAAAAACAUUAUGGGCUGUAUAAGAGAGAGAUCCUGAAACUCAAAUUUGGGACAUCUCACUUUCCACAUAUUUUAUAAAGCAACAGAAAGACCAUCUAGAUUAUAUCUAAUUGACAUUAUUUUAUUUUUCUUGGAGUUAUCUUUUUAUCCUUUUGGUGUAAAUUCAAACCGUAAAAUGUAAUUAAAGGUCUUUGGCCUUUACAGUGAAUGCACUCCCAAUUGGUAUUUUCACUCUCGUAGAAAUUGAAAGCACUUAUCAUUUCGACCAAUUGUUUGCUGAUAUUUUGUGUGAUGAAUUAUUAAGAGAAUAUAUAAAUGACUUAAAAUGUCUAUAAAUUACAUAUAAAUUCUCGAUCUCUCUAAUAUUAAAUUUCAAUGUCUUGGAUUUUUGGAUCUUAUUGAGUGAUAAAAAUCAUAUAUAUUAACGAUCCAAAGUAGUACAAAUAUACAAAUCGAUCCAGACAAAGCAUAAACUAAAAAACACCAGUUUAGCAAACUAGCAAAUAAUGCGAAAUUAAGUAGCACUUAAUGCAUCAAGAAUAUGUGGCAAACGUGGCACAGGAAUGCAAACUAGAUCAUGAAGUCUUGGUGCAGUUAAUCCAGGCCGUUCAGUCAUAAAAAAAACAUGAUCACCACCAUUAAUCUUGGCUUCAGGAGGAUUAACCACUUCCCAAUCAAAGCACUGAAUCAUAGCCGCAAGUGUUGUAGGCAAUUCUCGCAUGGCUAAAGAUAUGCCAGGGCACCUUCCCCUUCCUGUCCCAAAAGGCAACAGCUGAAAAUGUUGUCCUCUAACAUCUACAGGUCUUGUUUGGCAAAAUUCCUGGUUACUAUUACUAUUGGAUUGCAAGAACCUCUCAGGUUUAAAUUCUAAUGGGUUUUUCCAGUACUUUGGAUCUCUUCCAAUCGACCAUAUAUUCACGAAAAGUAAAGAAUUGGCAGGUAUUGUAUACCCAUUAAUCUUGCAAUCUUGAAUUGAUUUUCUUGAAAGCAUCGGAAUUGGUGGGUGCAAUCUAAAUGUUUCCUUUAAAAUAGCUUGAAUAUAUUCAAGCUUUGGAUUGUCA
rnacentral:lncRNA from 1 species